CAUGUGUCUUUGUAAACUACUGUGAAUUCCCUUUGAAAUGAGAGUGAUUACUUCAUUAAUUAACAUGGCAGGGCAGGAAGCUAGUAGAGGGGAGGGCUGGAGAUCCUGGAGGGAGAUGAGAUAAUUACCGAAUCAAGGCUUGGAAGAGAACAGAUCGAGUGCUGUUGGCAGGAGGUGUGCAGAGGGAGCUGCCUCGAGUCAAAGGUGGGACCCAAUGUCGAAGAGUAGAUGACAGUCAGGAGGUGGCAGAGGUUUUGUGCCAGGAUAGGAGGUAAUGGUGGGUAGGGAAUGAGUAGAGAGGAGGACUGUGAUCCAGGUGCCCAAAUUCCCGGUGGCAGGAGCCUCAAGGAGAGAGGGUUACCAGUUACAAGGACCAGUGACUGAUCCUUGCACUUUUGGGUCCAUGGGCUUGGGGAAGAAGAUAGUACUGCACUGGGGAGGCAUCCUGGGGAGAUCCAGAAGCCAGCUGAGCAUGUGCGCGUGGCAGGAGCGUGAGGAGAAAAGGCUGAAGACAUGAGGGAGUUUGUCUACCGGGAGCAGGACGUUCUAGGCUGUGGUACCAAGGAAGAUCUGAGAGGCCGGGCUUGCGUCCCUAAUCAGUGGAGAAGAAGAGUGAAGUUAAGUGAAGCAUAGCAAUUCCCAGAGCACUUUUGCAUAAGAGCUGGCAAGGGCCUCACCACUUCAGCUCUUCAGAGCAGAAAGGUUCAGGGAUUUGCUGACUCAGGCAGGGUGGGAACCCAGCAGUCCCGAAGCCCAGCCUGGGAGCUCGAGCCUCCCCUCUGGCCCAGCAGCAUAGUUCCUUCUCUGACCGUGUUCUUCCCUCCACUCUUUGCAGGACAGUAGUCCACUCUGCCGGCCACGCCAUGAAUGGGAUGGCCAACGUGAAUUCAGCCAGCCGCCCUCACUACCCCUCCUCCAUCCCUGUGCCCAGAGCCUCUUCCCAGACCAGGAUUCACACUCCGGGUGCAUCUCCUCAGCUGCGGCCGCACCAGGCUGGCUUGACCCUUAGCCCCCAGCGAGCGGCCUCCCCGAGGCUGGGCAAGGCUUCGGGCUCUUCCAGAAACUCCUCGCCCAAGGCCUCCCUUGGGAGAGGCUCCCCAAGGCCUGCUGGGGCAGCAAGGGAGUUGGCUGAAGGUGGUGAAGGCCUCCCCAGGUCCCCCUGGAGCAGUCCCAGAGUAACCCCAAGGGCGGCCCCCUCCACCCGGGCCGGUUCCGGAAGAGUCGGGGCUACACAAGGCAUCCAGGGAAAGAAAAAGAAGGCCCAGGAAGGGAUUCCAGUGCGCCAGACCCGUGGCAGGAGCCCACCCCGGACAAGUGCUCAUGGAGAAACUCCAAUACCAGGGGCUCCUGAAGGGCGAAAGCCUCCUAGUGGCCCAGGAAAAGAUCAAAGAGAUCUAAACUACCCAUGUUCUUCGGAGCCUGACAGUGGAGCAGCUUCAGGGGCCCUGUCUCCGGCUUACAGCCCAGCGCAGAGCCAGCGCCCCCCUCCCACCCCAGGGACCAUUAGCUUCUCCUCGGUCCAUCAGCAGAGCCAACCCAUCACAGCCACCGUGGCCCCCUUCCAGUACAGGUUGCAGACAGACCAGGAUCCUGGCUCCCACCCUCAGGGCAGCUGGGCCCUUGAUGGCUACUCCAGCCCCCCAAGCAGGAUGGAGAGCAGCCUCUCCGGUGUGGGUAAGUGCUCUGGAGGAAGACUUCCUGCUGGGGGUGGGGACAUUGGCCUGGCGCACUUCACUGCCCACGCAGCUCCAUCUCUUGACAAUGAGACACCAGACUGUGACCCACACUUUGAGUUUUCUCCACGUUUGACUCAACCCAGGGUUGGUCCAUUGAAUCCAGGAGCACUUCCGGGUCAAGAUAGCAGUUGA
rnacentral:lncRNA from 1 species